rnacentral:rRNA from 1 species
GACGAACGCUGGCGGCAGGCCUAACACAUGCAAGUCGAACGAGUGGCGGACGGGUGAGCAAUGUCUGGGAAACUGCCUGACGGAGGCGGAUAACUACUGGAAACGGUAGCUAAUACCGCAUACCAUCAGAUGUGCCCUGAUUGGAUUAGCUUUUUGGUGGGGUAACGGCUCACCAAGGAGACGAUGCCUAGCUGGUCUGAGAGGAUGACCAGCCACACUGGAACUGAGACACGGUCCAGACUCCUACGGGAGGCAGCAGUGGGGAAUAUUGCACAAUGGGCGAAAGCCUGAUGGAGCCAUGCCGCGUGUGUGAAGAAGGCCUUCGGGUUGUAAAGUACUUUCAGCGGGGAAGCGUUACCUACAGAAGAAGCAACGGCUAACUCCGUGCCAGCAGCCGCGGUAAUUC